GAGCGUUGUCCGGAAUUAUUGGGCGUAAAGGGAGCGCAGGCGGACAUAUAAGUCCAUCUUAAAAGUGCGGGGCUCAACCCCGUGAGGGGAUGGAAACUGUAUGCCUUGAGUGCAGGAGAGGAAAGCGGAAUUCCCAGUGUAGCGGUGAAAUGCGUAGAUAUUGGGAGGAACACCAGUGGCGAAGGCGGCUUUCUGGACUGUAACUGACGCUGAGGCUCGAAAGCCAGGGGAGCGAACGGGAUUAGAUACCCCGGUAGUCCUGGCCGUAAACGAUGAAUGCUAGGUGUAGGAGGUAUCGACCCCUCCUGUGCCGGAGUUAACGCAAUAAGCAUUCCGCCUGGGGAGUACGGUCGCAAGACUGAAACUCAAAGGAAUUGACGGGGGCCCGCACAAGCGGUGGAGUAUGUGGUUUAAUUCGACGCAACGCGAAGAACCUUACCAGGGCU
rnacentral:rRNA from 1 species